rnacentral:rRNA from 1 species
UGUCGUAAGGGAAAAUAAUGAUAAUACCUUACUAUGAGUGUCGUCCAAAUCUGGUGCCAGAAGACUCGGUAAGACCAGAGACGCAAACGUUAAUCAUCAUAAACAGGCGUAAAGGGUUUGUAGGCAGCUCUCACAAAGACAUAUACAAAAUAAAGUGUUUUAAUUGAGAGCUAGAAUCAAAAAGAGGUUAUAGUGUAUAACGCCUAGAGGAGGGCUGAUAUCCAUAGAUCCUAGGCAGAAUACUCAGGGCGAAGGCCACUCUCCACUACUGAUUGACGCUGAGAAACGAAGGUUAGGGUAGGAAAUAGGAUUAGAUACCCAGGUACUCCUUUCUGUAAACGAUGAAUGGUAGUCAUUAGUAAUAAAACUAGAGGCGAAGUUAACACAAUAACCAUUCCGCCUUGUGAGUACUACUGCAAAGUAGAAAACAAAAAAAUUAGUCGGUCUCGAAGCAAACGGAGUGAAGCA